UUAAAUUUAGACGUGGAAUGAAAAUCAAAAAUUUAUUGUCAUCAGUCGUUAUAGAAACUAAAUAAACAAAUACAUUAGUUUUCGAGGAAAUAGUGAACAUUAUAACAAACAGAAUUUUAUUCUUAGACACUGCAUUGAAUUUGGACGGUUUCAUACUGAAUUGAGACUAUAAAAGUUACAAAGGAAGCAACAUUGUAAGAACUUCUAACCAACGCCUGUAGAAGCUUUCAGAGGAGCCACGAACCAAAGGAAAAUAUGGAAUACGUUUGGCUGUUUUUCUGCACAGUAAUUUGCGUACAUUUUAAUCUCGUCACCAAUACAAAUACAACAAACAGCACCAUCACUAUGCCCUUACUUACUAGUAGGCCUACUGCAGCCAUUACAACUAGGCCUACUGCAGCCAUUACAACAAUUGCAACCACACCAUCACCGAAAACUGGAGACACCACAACUACGCUUGAUGACACAGCAGAGUGGAAUACAACCACACCAGACAAUAGAUCCAACAGACUAUCUGGUGGUGCUAAAGCCGGCAUUAUUUGUGCUUCAAUAUUUGUAUAUUUUGCGGGAUUGUGAUUGUUGUACUAUGUUGUAAAGUAAUGAAAAAUCUAGCCCAAAUAACACCACAGGCUUAAACAUUUACUUAGAAGCCGUACAAAAAAAAAAAUUACCCAGAAUAUGUUCGAUAUGUUUUUUGUGGUAGAAGUAGUAAUAGAAUUUAAGGUGUUUGAAACAUUUAAUUGCGGUAAUUAAGUUUGGGAAUUGGAUGAACAUUUUCCAACAGAAAGUUUUGGGUUUUGGCUCUAUCAUCAUAAAUAUCAUCAUCAAAUUGACUGCCUUCAUCAUUAUCCUUAUCAUAAUAAGCAGCAGCAUCACUGUGCCCCAUUAUUUCACUAAAAAAAAAAACAAAAAAAAAAAACAA